GAUUUCUGGUUAAGUAACGCUAGCCCGCCCUUGCCAGGGGUGUGCGCUGGUUAGUUGCUUGCCAUCUUUCUAGAAAGCCAGCAGCUGUCAUUCACUUGGCGGCUGUGACGCGAUCUAGAUCUUUUACUUUGAAAAAAUUAGAGUGUUUAAAGCAGGCUUACGCUAUGAAUACAUUAGCAUGGAAUAAUAAUAUAGGACUUUGGUUCUAUUUUGUUGGUUUCUAGGACUGAAGUAAUGAUUGAUAGGGAUAGUUGGGGGUGCCAGUAUUCAGUGGCCAGAGGUGAAAUUCUUGGAUUCACUGAAGACUAACUACUGCGAAAGCAUU
rnacentral:rRNA from 1 species